ensembl:lncRNA
GUGAAAUGCAAGCUGAAAACACAAAAGGCAGGGAGACGAGGCAGUUCUGAAACUAGGUUAGAGAUUAAACGAGCCUGAUAUUUGGCAGUUGUAGGCAAGGUUGGAUUACCCUGGGGAAAGGGCUUGAAAUGAUUAAUGGAAUGGUGUUAUUAGCCUAUCAUGGGAUUGCAUUACUGCUUGAAUUCUUAAGACAGAAAUUGAGAGGAGCUGUGUGGGUGUGAAUGAUGUGCUGUGGAAGAGAGAGCACAAGAGCAGUGCUUCCCAAAAGAAGCCAGCUCUGCAAUCUGAGAGCUUCGGGCUGAACAGAUCUGCAAGCUGACCCAGAGCAGAGCAAGAAGAAAGUGCUGAAUGGAGUGAGAACUGCUGCAUUCAGAAUUUCCAAGAUAUUUCAGUAGUGAAUUGAAAUAUUUCCCAGGGACGGGGAAAAAAUCAAACUGGAGUUGUUCCUCCCAACUUUGACGUGGCACUCAGCCAUUGCAUCUGUCCUAGAGGAUUUUCCUGUUCGUCUCACCAGUUCCUCACCUUUCUCAAAGAGGUCUUCUGCCCCAGAAGAAAGAGAAAAGGGCUCUUCUACAUCUUGCUGCUUCCUCUUGCUUUUGCCAUGGUUACUUUCCUCUUGGCAUCCUCUGAGUGUCCAAGAAGAACAGCUAUGAAUGGAGUGAAGGGAGAGGAAAGCAAAGCUUGGCUCUGCGUGGCAGCUGUGGACACUUCAGAGCCACCAUCACUCGCAUGGAUCUGAAAGGAAAGCUCUCAACGUGCUCUGCUCUCAGAGAUGUUCACAAAGGAGCAGGUGAAAUAGUUUGGCACGUGGUUGCAUUGGCUUUUGAAGCCUUGGGCUUUGCUGGAGAACUCCCAGUGGACUUUGUAGAGUGGUUUUGCAGAAUGGACAGUGGGCACAGGCUGGAGGCAAAGCAUUUUUAUUUCUCUUCUAUUUUUAACCAGGCUCUGAAGCCCCCUCCCGAGUACUCACACUGCUGCUUAGCGGGGUUUGUUUUGCCAGACUUUCACUGCUGCUAUUUUGGGGUGG